rnacentral:misc_RNA from 1 species
GAGCUCAACUCAAAUCGGACUUUCGCUUAAAUCUAAGUGCGAGGGCUAGCGAGAUCAAUUUAAAGCCAUACCUCACCCCGUCUGUCCAUAUUUGUAAGGACCGGAUUUCAGCGAGACUAGCUUAAGCAAUGACUACCCGUCCAAUCCAUAUCCAUCAUAUACCAUACAUAACACACACAUACAUCUCUAAAUUAUCCUCAAGGCAGUAAAUACAAGUAAUUAACAAUAAAUAAAUAUGCAACAACAAAAAUGCCCCUAAUAUAUUUUAACUAAUUAUAUGCAUAAAUAAAUAAAUAUUUAUAAAAAAAUGCAUGAGCAUGUCAGAUAUAUAAAUAAUAUUGAAAUUAAAAAAAAAUCAAUAUCUAACUUAUAGAUUAGUCGACUCGACUGUAGCUGGUCUGGCUGGAAGAAGAAAGAUGGUUGGCCUGAUCGCCUAUACAGACACACUGAUCUUUAUCAAAAUACUGACAAAAUUAACCAAUUAAUUUAAUUUACAAAUGCAAGAAUAAUUCUUAUAAUAUUGCUGAAAUUUUAGCAAAGUCCCCCCUAUAACUGAACUUAACCCAUUGCAAGAAAACUCAGCAAAAAGCAACACACAGGGCCUCAGGCCCACAAUAACAUCACAUGCUCAUCCGAGGCCUAUAAGAACCUAAUCUAACUCCAAUAGUCCAAACUCCAGCUUGGGUUCCUAACUCCUUUACAGUUUAAUUAAUUAUCAAAAACCCUUUGAAAAUUCCAAAAAUAUUCCUGGGGGCCCUUCUCAUCAUCUUAAAGUCUAUAAAAUUUAUUUUAAUUAUUUUUAGAAUACUAAGAAUAUUUUACAAAUUAAUUAGCUAGUCUAGAACUAGGUAAAAAUCACACAACUUGAGUUUAGGAUUACCUUUGCAAAAACUGCCACUUGAAAUGCGUCUGGAGCAUCUGAAAAUGCUGAAAUGAUUGUAAUAUUGACUAUAUUCUAGGAUGGACCACCGAGCAUUCAGAUCAGACUGGAAACUCGGUCCCAAGCGCAUGUGAGUUAUCGUCAAUCCGAGUACAUAUCUGGGAUGCCCAUGAGCUGCUAGUGAUGAAUCCGCUGACAGUUCGUCCAAACUCUGCUCUGGUCACCUGAUAUCCGCUGAUUUAGUUUAGGCCGUACAAUAAGCAUCUUCUCUUCGAUCUCCGAUUAACACGU